AAUGAUAAGUAUUCGACGUUAUUCCCUAAACGCCCGCAAUUUCCUGCUGCCUAACAUUAAUAAGCAAGGUCUUUUCGCGUUGAAACCAGCGCUAUCAAAGUCUGUAAACUUGAUUCCGUGACUUCGGCCAGUCUUGGAAAACAUACGCGAAUAUUUGAUAACGUCUAGAAGAAUCACUUGUUAGAGGAUUUUCUUUCAUUCUGCUAUUAUAUAUGGUUCAUAUGUAUAUGACCAGAAAAGAUUUCGUUAUAUGCAGGAUAAUGGGAGCAUCGAUAGAGAAAUGUUAACGACCCCGGUGGUUUUGUACGGAAACCACAGGAAAUUUGAAAUGAAAUUCACGAAAAAUGGACGAAUUCGUGGAGAAGUCAUUUGCUCUCUGAUUUCGAUGAUUUUGAAAUAUGUUGCAAAGCUCAACAACUUUCUCAACAUCUUCUUUCCGAUAUAUAUAAACCAAGGCCGGCCUUAGUUUUCAACUUAUAUAGAAAAAUAUGUCGCUGCUACUCCUACUUUUCAAGCUGCACUGGAAUAUCGUCGUGGGAUGAAAUUCAUUUUUAACAGCCAACCCACAGUAAUAAAAUUGAUGUUGUGAAUUAUCUUGAAACUGAGUGAAAGUGAAAAACUUGAAACUGAGGCAAGGAAAAACCUUGAAAAAAUCUCGUGAUCAUGUAUUUUUCUGCAUAUAACUGCUUUAUAAAUAAUUAAUUACAGUAUAUUAAUAGUAAUUAGUGGAGAAAUUCGUUAGUUGAUAGAGAAGCAUCAUUUCAAAAACGACAGAUACAUCGACAAUUUAUUUAUUGAACUGUAGCAGGCUACUGUUAAUUCAAAUACACAUAAACGAGAUGAUGAUAAGAUUUAAAACAAGUAACAAGUUACUAAGUAGACAGAUGUCACGUUUCAAAUCAUCAAUUUGUCAUAUGAUCUAUCGAUGGAUCAAAAUUUCAGGAUAUACAUAACAUAAAUACGUAUCCAACGGAGCGUAUUAUAUUUGCACAGGUUGUGAAAGAAGAAUGCAAGGAAUCUGCAUAAAGCCGUGACGAUCGAGACUCAUCAGCCAUCGGCGACGAAGGAAUGACGAACCACUCAAAACGUAAAUAUUUUAAUGAAACCUUUAUUAAGACUUUAUCGCGCCAAAGCCAAAUAGUGACUCCGGCAAUACAAACAGGUAAACGUUUUGGCCCGAGAGUCCUCGAAUGCGAAGCACCACCGACCGACGUUUUGUCUUCUCCUUCAUUUUCGUCUAAAACAAGACGAGGAUACAGCGAUCUCUGGCGAUCGUGCAUCAUUAAAAUUACGAAUAGUUCGACGCAAAUACGAAUCAAUCGAUGAGACUUGGAUCGAUACCGCACGAGAAGCUUCGUGGUUGAAGAUGCGUAACAAAUUUUCUGUAGGUCAAAGAGAAAGAAACCAUUUGCUCCAUUCUGUGAUAAUAUUUGCACGAAUGAAAUUUCUGACGAUUCUAAUAAUUUUUAAAGAAGAAACGGAGGAAGACAGAGUCGAAUAUAGAUGUUAACUUCGCUGUAGUCUUUGGAUCAUUUCCCAUUGGAUUCGAUCGCCUUUUCUAUCGAGCAAAGGAUUUCUUAAGUCGAAGGAAAAUAUACAGAAAUCGUGGUAAAGCUGUCCUCCGGAUGUUAAAAGCGUUUUCCCUUCUCGAAAAGAAACAGAAAUUGCGACAUCAAAAUUUGAAGAUCGCGGCAAUUUCGAUAUCGUAAAAAGGACAUUUACGUUUUAUCGUUUCGACCCAUUUCACCAAGUAUAUAAUAUUUCUAUUUUACUAUAUUUUAAUAAUAAAAACACAGAAAUACAUAAACGUGGGUAAAAAUGAUUCGACUGCGAAAUGGAUCAUCGAUUUCGAGGAAGGUAGACAAACCAACUGUCUCGUGCGAACUUUCUUUUUUUGUUUAUCGAUAUCGCCACAAAGCAUCCUGCAUGCGACAGAAUUUACCAAAGGAAAUUACACCGGAUGUCGAUAUCAAUUGGCCAAUUUAUCUUAAAUUAUCUAAAUAGUCAUAAACGCCGGUUCGGUGUUGCACGUUGAGCGACCAACCACGGGUCAAUUCCUCUACCUUAAAUCACAAUGGCGACGACAAGUUUAUUCGUUUACUUUUCUCGUUAAUUGUAUCCUUAAGACUGAUCGUUACGUACGUCUGGAGGCGCUAGUACGCGAGUAACGCGCGUGCACGGACUUCGAGAUCCGUAUACGUGCCGGGUGCAUCGUUCGUCCAUCGUGUCUCUCUCAUUCACGCUGUUAAAUUAUGCGGAAAAUGUUCCCUGUGGCGAAUAUCUUCGUAAACUUAAUUAUAGAAUUAUAAAGAAGACUCUCCCUAACGAAAGGGUCAACACGAUCCUUACGACGUGGCUCGUGUCAAUUGUCGCGGAGCGUGAAAGAUUGCAAGAUUUCUCGAAUUAGAAAGCGCUUAAGAAACGUACAAAGAAAGAUUAAAGCGUAAUAAUAUAUUAUUAAUUUCGUAACUUGAAUAUCGUUACACGCAAUGUCGUUAUAUAUUCUACGGAAAGUUGAAAAUCUAUAGAUAUUUUUCGUAUGUCUACCAGAGACUGGAGAAAUCAUGACGGUGAAGAAACUAGGAAAAAUCGUUCGUUCAAAAUCGAUCACCGAUUUAUUACAUCGUCGAAGAAUUAAUUAGACAUCGUGACGAUAAAACGUGUUUCGCUCAAAUUAAUUCGCGGCACGGAACACGUUAAGAAAUAAGUCUAUGACUCGCGUGCGUGAUCCUGUCAUAAAAUUCCAUCGAAAUUUUUUAAUCUUUCUUGAUCUUCCAACAAAGAGCGAAUAAAUUAAACGCUGAUUUUCAUGAUCGUUCGACCACAGGGAACAUCAUCGAACCUUCGCACGUACGUCGAGAGGCGCAUCGACGGCCGCAUUUCAAUUGUAUUAAUCUAAAGUUACGAACAGUCGACGAUCUUUGGGACGGUGUUAAGGAUCAGCGUCGCGACGCCUCUCGAUCGAACUGCGUGUCGCGCGAAAUCGUUCAAGUGUUAGCGAUGCACCGAAAGGGGUUGUUGCUUCGACAGCUUCGGCGUCUCGUGUUUUCUAGCGUCUUUAGAAUUCGUUUCGAAGUCGUUGUGAUCGCUCAUUUAAAAUACGAAUAUUUAUCUGUAUAUAAAAUUCGCAAUUUUUCGUUGUCCAUUUAUUUAGGCCUACGGUUUUUCACAUUUUCCGAAUAUAGGCCUGCUCGCGUUUCCUCUCUAAAGCAGCAUUUUUGUUCGCUUUACGCCAGGGAACAUUAUGGAAGCAACAGUGGCAAAAGAUAAAAGGACGAAAGAUAAAGUUAACGUAUGAUACGAACUAUUGAAAAACUAUGUUAUCCGAUACGAUUGCGGAGAUAAAGCUGGUUGAUAAUUCUUUAGCGGAGAGAUAUUGGAGGAAUUUAGUAGAAGACAGAGAGGAUCGUAUCGAAAUUGCUGAAAAAAGGACUACCGAAGAAU